rnacentral:lncRNA from 1 species
AGCUGGCCAGUGCUGAGGGGGCGCGGCGCGGAGGGGCGCGGAGGGGCGCGGAGCCGGGUGGCUCGGGGCCCAGAGAGCGCCGCGGCCGGUAGCCAGCCGGCUCCUGACAGCCCCCCUCCCCCCGGUGGACGACGACGACGACGACGAGUGCGCCGGUCAUGGCGGAACAGCGAACCCAGCGCGGUCCCUGAGCACCUCCGCAUGGAGCGGGACGAACGGCCGCCUAGCGGAGGGGGAGGCGGCGGGGGCUCGGCGGGGUUCCUAGAGCCGCCAGCCGCGCUCCCUCCGCCGCCGCGCAACGGUGGGUGAGGGGCCUGCGGAGCCCUGGCCGGGCGAG